AUGACCGACAUCGAGAAUCCCGACGUCGACGACGGCAGCGUGGCAGAGGCGGAGCCCGCCCAGUGCAGCCGGCGCGUGUACAUGUGCCUACUGUGCUGCGUCGCCUUGGCGCUCGUCCUCGCCUUCCAGACCUUCUUGCACUUCAAGGAAUCCCAUCCUGCGGAGACCAUGCUGGGUAUCAUGGUGGACCUCGGAGGGCUCCUGGCUGCGCUCGUCGGCGGCUGGUUCGUCCUCGUUUUCGCCGCGCUCGUGGCCGACUGGUUUGAAGGCAAUCCGGAGGGGAAAAGGCUUGUGGAUAACUUGAUCGAAUCCGAUCGCCCUUGUCUGCUGGAAUCCUUCCGUCUGGUUCUAGGUCGCUGCGACCCGGAUCAGCAUGCUCUUGUACCGAAAAUCAGUUUCUGA
rnacentral:rRNA from 1 species